rnacentral:rRNA from 1 species
CUCCCGUUCCUUGCCUCACAUUUCGGCCAAGGCCCCCGCGUCCCACCCCGUGCGCCCCCGCAUCGCCGCUUCCUCUCCUCCCCUUCCCUUCCCUUCCCUUCCCUUCCGAGAACGCACGUCAAUCCCACCACCGCCAUGGCCGCGCUGGCCCGCGCCUCGCUCCUCCGAUCCGCCGUUCGGCGGCUCCGGGCCUUCUCCGCGGCCGCCGCCGAGGGCGCCGCGCCCCGCCGCGACGCGAGGGCAGCCGAUGCCGCCACGGUGGCGGCCGCGCUGGCUGUCGGGUCGGGGCUGGGGAUCUGGCUGCUCCCCCCUUCGCCGCAGCCGCUCGCGGACUCGGGCCAGGGGGGCUUCGCCGUGGCGGAUGCGGGCUUUGGCGACGUGGGCACCGCGGAGGAGCCCGAGGAGGAGAAGCGCAGGUUCCUCUUCCGAGACUCAUAUCGCAGAAGGGUGUUCUUCAACUAUGAGAAGCGCAUCCGGACGCGCAGCCCUCCUGAGAAGAUCUUUGAGUACUUUGCGUCCAUCCGGAACCCGGAGGGCGAAGUCUACAUGUUACCUGCCGACUUGAUGAGGGCUAUUGUUCCCGUUUUCCCUCCAUCCGAAUCUAAUGUUGUCAGGGAAGGAAGACUCAGAGGAGAGCGCAACCCUGGCGAGCUACAGUGUGCUCCUUCUGAGUUUUUCAUGCUGUUCGACACAAACGGCGAUGGGCUCAUCUCCUUUGCCGAGUAUAUCUUUUUUGUGACAUUGCUUAGCAUUCCUGAGUCGAGCUUCAAUAUAGCUUUCAAGAUGUUUGACCUUGACCACAAUGGGGAAAUAGAUAAAGAAGAGUUUAAGAAAGUAAUGGCGUUGAUGCGGUCCUAUAAUAGGCAAGGAUCUGCCCACAGGGAUGGGUUACGUAUUGGACUCAAGGUUGGUCAGCCAGUGGAAGACGGCGGACUGCUUGAGUACUUUUUUGGCAAGGAUGGCAGUGACCAUCUACACUAUGAAAAGUUCUCUGAUUUUUUGAAGCAAUUACAAGAUGAGAUCGUUCGCUUGGAGUUCAGUCACUAUGAUAUAAAAUCAUCCAAGACAAUAUCUGCUAAGGACUUUGCAUUAUCCAUGGUUGCUUCUGCUGACAUGAAUCAUAUAAACAAGCUACUUGACAGAGUUGACGAUUUUGAUGAAUCUCCUGAUGUCAAGGAUCUGCGCAUUACCUUUGAGGAGUUCAAGGCUUUUGCUGAUCUGCGGCGAAGAUUGGAACCAUUUGCAAUGGCUAUCUUCAGCUAUGGAAAAGUAAACGGUUUGUUGACAAAGCAGGAUCUAAAACGUGCUGCAACUCAUGUUUGUGGGGUGGACUUGACUGAUAAGGUGGUGGAUGUCAUUUUCCAUGUGUUUGAUGCAAACUGUGAUGGGAACCUAAGCUCAGAGGAGUUCUUGAGGGCACUACAAAGACGGGAAAUCAAUAUUCGCCAGCCCACCACUCCAGGUUUAAUGGGGGUAUUCUCCUGCUGGCUGAACUGUACGAAGUGUUCUUUUCAACAAAUGCUGCUUCAGUAGAAUAUAUCUUGAUACUAACAAGAUUAGCCUUCUGUUGCCCUGGGCCACUUUCUAUUUGAUGUACGUAGGCCAUGCUCAACAAAUAUGAAGUUAGUUGCUUCUGUCGCAUUAACAUUCCACUUGCAUAUAUAGCUGGUAUCUCUGAUGGUUUUGGUCAUGGCAGGAUCUGAGCUGAAGAAUGAAUACAACAACCGCUAGAUGUCAGCAGACACGAUCUUGUUGUACAUAUUGUCCUGCAGAUCAAAGUUGUCCAAUUAUGUAGUAGCUGUAAAUAACACAAUUCUGUUCUGGCCCAAGGGCUCAGUUGACAGAUCUCUCCUUCACUGAUGUAAUGAACAUGCGACUUUGAACCUCGUUUACUCUCUCCCAAGUUCUCCCUGUGUCCU